UGCCAGCCGCCGCGGUAAUACGGAGGGUGCAAGCGUUGUCCGGAUUUACUGGGUGUAAAGGGCGCGCAGGCGGAUUUGUCAGUCAGGGGUGAAAUCCUACAGCUUAACUGUAGAACUGCCUUUGAUACUGCAAAUCUUGAGUUCGGAAGGGAGAGGCGGAAUUCCAGGUGUAGUGGUGAAAUACGUAGAUAUCUGGAAGAACACCAGAGGCGAAGGCGGUCUCUUGGUCCGAAACUGACGCUGAGGCGCGAAAGCCAGGGGAGCGAACGGGAUUAGAUA
rnacentral:rRNA from 1 species